CAGCCGCCACGGUAAUACGUAGGGUGCAAGCGUUAAUCGGAAUUACUGGGCGUAAAGCGUGCGCAGGCGGUUCUAUAAGACAGAUGUGAAAUCCCCGGGCUCGACCUGGGAACUGCAUUUGUGACUGCACAGCUAGAGUAUGGCAGAGGGGGGUGGAAUUCCACGUGUAGCAGUGAAAUGCGUAGAGAUGUGGAGGAACACCGAUGGCGAAGGCAGCCCCCUGGGCCAAUACUGACGCUCAUGCACGAAAGCGUGGGGAGCAAACAGGAUUAGAUACCCCAGUAGUCCCUGUCUCUUAUAC
rnacentral:rRNA from 1 species